CGUGCAAAGGUAGCGUAAUCACCUGUCUUUUAAAUAAAGACCUGUAUGAAUGGCAAGACGAGGGUUUUACUGUCUCCUCCCCCCAGUCAAUGAAAUUGAUCUACCCGUGCAGAAGCGGGUAUAAAAACAUAAGACGAGAAGACCCUAUGGAGCUUUAGGCAUAUAUCAAAUAUGUAAAAAACCAAAUUUUUCCAAAUAGGCCUAAAAAAUGAGAAAAACAAGUAUUAAUGAUUAAGUGCCUUCGGUUGGGGCGACCACGGGGAAAAAUAAAACCCCCACAUGGAAUGGGAAAAAUAACCCUAAGCCAAGAAAAACACUUCUAAGCAACAAAAUUUUUGACCAAUAAACGACCCAGGGACACCAUCCCUGAGCAAUGAACCAAGUUACCCUAGGGAUAACAGCGCAAUCCUUUCCCAGAGCCCAUAUCAACGAAAGGGUUUACGACCUCGAUGUUGGAUCAGGGCAUCCUAACGGUGCAGCCGCU
rnacentral:rRNA from 1 species